CAGUAUAUCCUAGAUAAAAUAUAUGUGUGCAGAACCGAACAGUUCUCUUGUUGCACAGGGAGAAUUGGAUUCAGAAGGUAUAAAUAACCCGGGAAGAAAAACAAAAAUGCAGAUAGUUCACAUUCGUUUCCCAGUGUUCUUUCUUUGGGUGUAGCUGCUUUUGUCCAUCAUUUAUCAAUUGAAACUCAGGUCUCUUUGUCAAAGAAAUCCACUUCCAUCAAAAUAUGUCCUCAUACAAUAUCGUUGUCGAAGUGUAUAAUGAUCUCCUGGUUCUGCUCAUUUCACUUAGCAUCAGUUCAUGUAAGUCUCGCCAGUCCUCUCUGUAUUCAUCCUGCUGGUCAUUUCUUACAGAACAAUAAUAUUCCAUAACAUUCAUAUACCACAAUUUACCCAGCCAUUCCCCAAUUGAUGGGCAUCCAUUCAUUUUCCAGUUUCUGGCCACUACAAACAGGGCUGCUACAAACAUUUUGGCACAUACAGGUCCCUUUCCCUUCUUUAGUAUUUCUUUGGGAAAUACUAAAUACAAUAGAAACACUGCUGGAUCAAAGGGUAUGCACAGUUUGAUAAUUUUUUGGGCAUAAUUCCAGAUUGCUCUCCAGAAUGGUUGGAUUCGUUCACAACUCCACCAACAAUGAAUUAGUGUCCCAGUUUUCCCGCAUCCCCUCCAACAUUCAUCAUUAUUUUUUCCUGUCAUCUUAGCCAAUCUGACAGGUGUGUAGUGGUAUCUCAGAGUUGUCUUAAUUUGCAGAAGAAAAGCUGUUUUCUACACUGGGAUGAAUAAAAGACCCUUCUGGAACAUUUCAGCCAGGAAAUCAGAGAAUAAAGAAUAAUUGCCUAUAAGUUUAGCCAAAGUACAUGCUAGCUAACACGAGAAAUUCAACGAGAAGGACCAUUCCUUUAGAUCUUGGUAAAAUGAGAACAAAUGAUCACAGCACAUUGGAGGUGGGUACUUUUUGCCUGGUUCUCAUCAAGGUAAAGCAUAUAAAACCUUCAACUGUUUGACUAAAGAGAAAGAAAGCACUAAUUUUUCCCAGCGACACAAUUUAUUAAAAAGUUGACUUUCCAAAAUUACAUUUGUUCACUGAAGCGGAAUGCUGGGGGUGUACUACCUAAACUUUUUGCUUAAGUUCAUCUUCUCAUUUUUUAGUUUAAAGUCAUUUUGAACCUAUUCAAUUUUUUUUUUUUUAAAGAAAGGAAACUUCAGAGGAUCAUAGAUUCAGAACUAGAGGAGAUAAGAGUGAUAAUCUAGUUUAUCUUCCUCAUUUCACAAUGAGGAAACUGAGUUUAGGGGGUUAACUGAUUUGCCCAAUGUUACAGAGACAGUAAGAAAGAGAUCCAGAAUUCAAACCCAGGUCCUCUGACUUCAAAUUCAAUUGUGCACGAGUAUGUGGAAAUUAUUUUGUUGAGAGUGGAAAAUCUAAAUUAAUGUUUUCAAAAUAUAUUAUAUAUGUAUAUGCUUUUUUGCAUUAAAAGAAUGGAAACCAUUUUUUGUUAUGGGCCAGAACUUGAAACAAGGUGAUAACUCACUGGAAUUGAUAGAAACAAUGCUUAAGUUUACACUUUUGAGAGUUCAAACAUUAGCUCACACAUUAGAGUUCACAAGUUCGGGAAAUUCUUAAGUCAGAAACCCAUAAUCCCAAUCUCUCAAGAGGAGGAAUCAACCUUUGGGUUCACACCUUUAAGAGAUCAUAUAUAAGGAGCUCCUGGAGUCAGCUGAGAAGAGUAGAACCAAGAUUCAGAGAGAGCUAGAGGCUGAAGCUGGCAGACAAGCUGCAAGAGCUCUUGGAACCAAGGAGGGAGAUAGGCCUCUAAGAAAACUAACUGGGCUAUUUUGAAGGAGACAAUAAAGGAUUUAAACUUCUAACACCUGGCUGCAUUUGAGGUGAUUAUCGAUCUGAACUGAAACUAAGGCUGCCUCCAGAAGCCUGCCCGAGAAACCUGCUCCCAGAGAACCAUCAUAUUCUAGAAAAGAAGACAGCACCACAGUUUUUGUUUCUGUAUCCUCAUCAACUAGCACAGCAUGUUACAAAGUAGGGUUGUUAAAUGACUGAAAGUGAUUUUCUAAUGAAUUCCUAUCAGGUCAAGGAAUAUGUACAAAUAGUUCUCAAAAAAGAGCUGCAAGCUAAUAAUAACAACCAUACGAAAAAAUGAAAAGCAAAUAAAAAAAAUCCUUAGAGUUAAUCUCACAUCCAGAAAGUGGUAAAAAAGAUAAAAGAUGGGAAUAGUCAAUGUUGGUGGGGUUGUAGAAAAACAAGUAGAUUAAUAUACUGCUAGUGGAUAUCUAAACUGAUUCAAUCAUUCAGAAAAACAAUUAAAAAUGAUGGUAAAUAACCAUAUUUUUCACAUUGUUAGAAACAGUGGAAGUACCCACUUAACAUCUACCUAGCAUUUACAUAUCACUUUUAAGUUUUAUAAAUAUUAUCUCAUCUACAAAAAAUAUUUAUAAUAGUACUUUCUGUAGUAAGAAAGAACUGAAAACAUAAUAGAUGUCUCUCAUUGGGAAAUAGUUAAACAGAUUUUGGUACAUGAAUGUAAUAGAAUAUUACUGAACUGAAAAACAAUGAUUAUAAUGAAUGUAAGAAAGUAUGGCUAUACUUAACAUGUAUAGGACUGCUUGCCAUCUAGAGGAGGGGAUGGAGAGAGGGAGGGGAAAAAUUGCAACAGAAGGGAGUGCAAGGGAUAAUGUUGUAAAAAAUUACCCUGGCAUGGGUUCUGUAAAUAAAAAGUUAUUAAAAAAAAAAAAGAAGAAGAAGAAGAAAGUUAUGGGAAGACAUGUAUGAACUGAUGCAAAAUGAAGUGAGAACUUGGAAUAUAAUACACAAUAUAAUUAGAAAAAGCAAUUACUGAAAUAGAAUAUAGUUAGUUUUGUUGAUCUUCUGUUAUUCAUCUUUUUAAUUCUUUGUUGUAAGAAAUGAUUCUCUAAAAGGGAGAUGUGGAUAGAUACAGUAGAAAUGCAUAUGAUAUAAAAACAAAUGAAAUCAAUAAAAGUUUGUUUUUAAAAUUGAGGAAUUUUCUGACAUGAUCACUUACUUGCUCCAGUUUGCUUUUAGAGAUUCCAUUAAGUUUCACUUUGUGCUCCCUAAUUUAAUGAAUAAUCACAAUCCUAGGAGAACUAUGAGCUUAAGACAAAGAGAUGGGACUCAAAAAAAGGUUACUUUCAACAAGCAUACGGAAUUAUUUUUAAUCAAUUGUUAUAGUGGAAAGUAGGUAAUGACACUAGUAAAAGAUAUUUACUUUUAAUAAAUUUUAACAUUUCAAUUGUAUCACCUUUAAGUCCAUGACUGGGUCUACAACCUAUUAUAAAACCCAUGCUACAUUGUUUUUAAUCUUCAGGGUCUAUUUCAGGCUAUUUUCCCAUUUAGAUGCUUCCUUAUGCUAUAAGGCAAAAAAUUUAAGCAACUUUUCUUUUGUUCUUUUUAACCUAAGUGUAAUCUUAUUCAGCACCUAGGUUCCCCAACACCAAUCCUGCCUGUUUUGGCAGUCUGGUGAAAGCUGCCAGAAUAAGAGCCUAAUUUAGAAUCCUAAUUGAUUGGUAUUCCCUGAACUGUUGCCCUAACCUUUGGACCACCUGGUCUUAAAAUGACUAUUAGAUUUGAACUCUGCUGCCCAAUUCUGUGCUGGAUUUACUUGGCUCACCAGGGGAAAUUCUCACUCCUUAAGUCCCUCCCUUAAGAUUUUGAUGCAAUAUAAGUUGUUGGGAUCUUUCAAUGGGCCUUACAACAUUGUGCAGCAUCACUUUCAAUUAUGUUAAUACCAACUUUCAGUAGAGUUGAACAAGUUACAUGCUAAAGUAUUACUGACAGAAGCCUUUUGAAAAAGCCACUAGAGAAGACUCAUUUCUUAAAUCCAUCUGUUCAAUUGCUGAUGCUCUUCUUAUUGUCCCAGUUGCUACACUCAGUGAGCUCUACUCUAGGUUGCUUAACUCCUUAUGUGAUGACUCUUUACCUCACAUACACUCCUGGGACUAGGAAGUGGGGAGAGGAAGGAGGGAAUAACAAAAUGAUUGUUCCUGAAACCAGUGGCUCAAACAAAGGAAUUUUCUCCUUAAAAACAAAACAAAACAAAAAAAUUUAGAUAUUUGCUUUAUUGUGCAAGAAAAAUCAAAUCAAAAGAGGAAAAAACCACAAGAAACAAACAAAAGGUGAAAAUACCAUGCUUUGAUCCACAAAAGUGGAAUCCAAAACUGGGAUCAUUGCAUUUGGAAUGAAUAAAUGGGGAAUAUAGGAUUUGACAAAUGACUCGAUGUGCAAACAAGGAAAAGGAACAAUUUAAAGCCUUGAGUGAUUGGGAUAUUAGUCGCUGAAUCCAAAUAGACUUCACAAGAGCCUAUUUCAACUCAAAGGGCUUCACAAGAGGAAGAUGAUUCAUUUAAUUAUGGACAAUGAAAGUGAGAUGCUAGAGGAAAUAUCACUAGAUGACAUUCAUUAUACAUCAUUAUACAUACAUAUACAUCAUGUUUGACGUAUAUAUCCUUAGAUUACUCUUAUCUUCCCUCCGAAUAGCCUGUUAGCUCCUAGAGGGUUAGACAGGGUUCCUAUCUUCUAUUUUUUCCCUUUAAUUCCCAUGAGGCAUGUACAAAAUUGGAUUUGAAGUCAGAGGAUCUCGAUUCUGAUUCCAGAUCGUUUAUUUACUAUCUGGGCAAAUUAUGUAAAAUUUGGACUUUAGUUUCUUCAUCUCUAAAAGGAGGAUAGGAGAGAGAGAGUUGGUCUCAAUGUCCGUUUCAGCUCUAAAUGAGAGUUUUUUUUUUUUUUUUUUU